AUUGAACGCUGGCGGCAUGCCUUACACAUGCAAGUCGAACGGCAGCACGGGAGCAAUCCUGGUGGCGAGUGGCGAACGGGUGAGUAAUAUAUCGGAACGUGCCCAGUCGUGGGGAUAACGUAGCGAAAGCUACGCUAAUACCGCAUACGAUCUAUGGAUGAAAGCGGGGGAUCGCAAGACCUCGCGCGAUUGGAGCGGCCGAUAUCAGAUUAGGUAGUUGGUGAGGUAAAGGCUCACCAAGCCGACGAUCUGUAGCUGGUCUGAGAGGACGACCAGCCACACUGGGACUGAGACACGGCCCAGACUCCUACGGGAGGCAGCAGUGGGGAAUUUUGGACAAUGGGCGGCAAGCCUGAUCCAGCAAUGCCGCGUGCAGGAUGAAGGCCUUC
rnacentral:rRNA from 1 species